AACAGAAGUGAGAGAGAGAGAAAGGCCACUUAGGCCUACAACCUAAACACCUCUGUGACCGCAGCUUCCUGCAAGACCAGUCCAUAACACACCAGCUCAGAAGCAACUGUCGUUUCACCUAUAAGAAUACAACACCAAACCAUUGCACUAUGCAUGCUACCAUUUACGACAAAGCUUUUUAAUUUAAUGAAAUUUUAGGAGGCUUAGGCAAUUUUUUAUAAAAUCAUAUGUUUCAAGAUAUGACUCUGAAGGUUUGUAAAUGGCAAACCUGAUUUGAGCUGAUUUAAAAAAUAAUUAAGGUGGUCUACAUCUGAAAGGAAGUGGAACUUUCCUGGAACUACUGGUUUUACAAGUGAACAUAACUGUCCAUUGUCAGACUGGAACUUGUGAUCUGUAAUUCUGCUAGUAACAGCACACAGAGAAUGGCAUCUCUUUGGUUUAUCUUAAUGAUUUUGUUCAUUGUCAAGCCAUGGCAGUCUGUGGAGGAGUCUGUGUUUCGAGAGGUCCAGCUUGGAGAUACUGCCAUUUUGCUCUGCAAUAUCUCUUAUCAUUACAAGAUAACCUGGUUGAAGCACAAUCCUGAGCAGACUCCUGCCGUUUUGCUGUGUGUGAGUCUAAACGGUGGAAAUAUAAUCUAUGGGCACCGACCCAAUCUUCGUUUCGAGACAGAGAUUGCCAACAGGUCAUUGGCAUUGAAAAUCAAGAGCGUUGAGGACGCAGACCUUGGAUUGUAUUACUGCAUGGGAAAGAUUGGGGAAAGUAUGAUGGUUGGGGGAGGAAGCAGACUUCACGUGUCUGGCCUUGAAGCUAUAAAUGAAUCUUCUACCACUUAUGAACAAGCUUCGCCUGCAUUGUGUAGUUGUACCUCCGGGCUCUCCUUCGCUCAUCUGCAUGCAGCUGUAGUUGGACUGGGUCUGUUGGGGAUGAUACUGACAGUUUGCAUCACUCAUCACAAGACCAAGAAAAGAAACAUGACAACCUAAAUGGUCUGGUGAAAAUAAGCUGCUCUGAAUGCUUUUCUUGCUCAGUGUGUUUCAGUGUCUGAUUACAGUAUAAUAUAUAAUAAACCUGAAUGCCAUAGUCCUACAGCAUGUAUUUUGAUGAUUUCUCUUAAGACAAAUUAUAUUGUGGUCUUGUGGCUUUGGAAUUUGGGUCAAGUUUAUCAGGAAGGAAGGACUUAUUUUGUCUCAGGGUGUAAUAUUUCCUGCUGCAUAUUUUGUCAUUCGUAUUUGUACUUUUUGCACUUGGGCCUUUUGAAAAUAAAAUAAAUAAAAGACUGCCUGACGGCCUGGCCUA